CCCGCCGAAUUUAAGCAUAUAAGUAAGCGGAGGAAAAGGAACUAAACAGGAUUCCCUUAGUAAUGGCGAACGAACAGGGAUCAGCUUGGGUUGGAAACCGGGGCUUCUGCCUUGGAUUGUGGCCUUUAGACAUACUACCAACGGCGGCGCGAGCGUAAGCCUCUUGGAACAGAGCGUCUACGUGGGUGAGAAUCCUGUGUUUCGCUUGAUGCCCGCCGUGCACGGUACUUGCUCUCAGAGUCACGCUCCUCGGAAUUGGAGCGUAAAUUGGGUGGUAAAUUUCAUCUAAAGCUAAAUACAGGCUAAGAUUCGUGUCUAGACCUCAUGUCUUGUGAUU
rfam:Symbiodinium microadriaticum strain CCMP2467 Smic.scaffold1971, whole genome shotgun sequence.